GACGAACGCUGGCGGCGUGCUUAACACAUGCAAGUCGAACGGAAAGGCCCUGCUUUUGUGGGGUGCUCGAGUGGCGAACGGGUGAGUAACACGUGAGUAACCUGCCCUUGACUUUGGGAUAACUUCAGGAAACUGGGGCUAAUACCGGAUAGGAGCUCCUGCUGCAUGGUGGUGGUUGGAAAGUUUCGGCGGUUGGGGAUGGACUCGCGGCUUAUCAGCUUGUUGGGUGGGUAGUGGCCUACCAAGGCUUUGACGGGUAGCCGGCCUGAGAGGGUGACCGGGCAAAAUUGGGCUGAGGAACGGGCCAGACGUCCUCGGGGAGGAAGAAGUGGGGAAUAUUCAAAAUGGGGGGGAGGCCUAAUGAGGAAAGGCGGGGUGGGGGAUACGGGCUUUCGGGUGGAAAACGGCUUUAGCAGGGGACAAAGAGUGAGUGACGGUAAUGGGUAAAGAAGCACCGGCUAACUACGUG
rnacentral:rRNA from 1 species